rnacentral:piRNA from 1 species
UCCCCCAUGUGUGAUGCAUACGACGGUGUCU